UCUCCUUCGAGUCGCUGUGCCUGACGGUGAACACUCUGGACCGCUUCCUCACCACCAUGCCGGUGGCUGCAGACUGUUUCCAGCUGCUCGGGGUCACCUCCUUGCUCAUCGCUUGCAAACAGGUGGAGGUGCACCUGAAGCAGCUCCUGGCCCUGUGCUGCGGCGCCUUCUCCCGGCAGCAGCUCUGCAACCUUGAGUGCAUCGUGCUGCACAAGCUGCACUUCAGCCUGGGUGCGCCCACCAUUAGCUUCUUCCUGCAGCAUUUCACACGUGCUCGUGUGGAGGCGGGGCAGGCUGAGGCCUCCGAAGCUCUGGAAGCGCAAGCCCUGGCGCGCGGGGUGGCCGCGCUGAGUCUGGCCGACGAUGCCUUCACCAGCUACUCCCCCUCCCUGCUGGCGAUCUGCUGCCUGGCGCUGGCGGAUCGCAUGCUGCGGGUCCC